rnacentral:lncRNA from 1 species
CAGCCUUUAAAAAAAAGAAAGAAAUCUGCUAUUUGAGACAACAUGGAUGAACCCGGAGGACAUUAUAUUAAGUGAAAUAAGCCAAAGAAAGAAAGACGAAUACUGCAUAAUCUCACCUCUAUGUGAAAUCUAAAAAGUCAAACUCAUGGAAACGGUGGAGGAGUGGUUACCAGAGGUCGUGGGAUGGGGAAAAAAGGGGAGUUAGUGGCCAAACGGUGCAGACUUGCAGUUACAAAAUGAGUAAGUUCUGAAGACCUAAUGAACAACAUGGUGCCUGUAGUUAAUAACAUGUUGUUUAUUUGAAAUUUACUAAGAGAGUAGAGCUUAAGUAUUCCCACCACACAAAAAACAAAAAAAUUAACUAUUAAUAUAUGAGUUGAUGGACAUGUCAGCUUAAUUGUCUUAAUCAUUUCACAGUGUAAAUGUUUAUCAAAACAUCACAUUGUACAUUUUAAAUAUGUACAACUUUUUUUUUUUUUCUUGAGAUGGAGUUUCACUCUUGUUGCCCAGGCUGGAGUGCAAUGGCAUGACUCGGCUCACCGCGACCUCCGCCUCCUGGAUUCAAGUGAUUCUCCUGCCUCAGCCUCUAGAGUAGCUGGGAUUACAGGCAUGCGCCACCACGCCUGGCUAAUUUUGUAUUUUUUUAGUAGGCAUGGGGUUUCUCCACGUUAGUCAGGCUGGUCUCGAACUCCGGACCUCAGGUGAUCCACUUGCCUCCGUCUCCCAAAGUGCUGCGAUUAUAGGCGUGAGCCACCGCACCUUGUGAAUUAUACCUCAAUAAUGUUGAAAAAAUACCAAAAAUCCCCCAGAAAACAUAUUAACUGACAAUGAUAUAUUUUUAAUUUUUAAAAUACCCUGGUAAUACUGAGGGGAAAAAAAGCUUGAAUAAAAAGUAGAUCAAGGUGUGGCACAAUUAAGUCAUUAUUAUGACCACAGUGGCUGCUCUCACUGCUGUGGCUACUAGCACCUCCACCGCCGUAACCUCUCCUUUCUGUUCCUUUCAUGACACAAUUUUAGCCCGUAGGAUUGACUUCCUGUUUUGCAAGUGCAAGAAAUGGCACUCUGAGACUUCACCCACUUCUCCUGUUAGAUAUUCGUUAGUUUUGUCAUUUUUUUCGUGGCCGAGUUUGUGACAUGGGUAACCUCUUAUAGAUCCUAAUUCCCCCCUUCUGCUAUCGUUGUUUCUCUGCUGGGGAACUAUGCUAGGCUUCUCUUUCUCGUUCCGUUGGUCACUAACAGGCCAUCUGAUUCUUUCCAUCCUCAGAGAUGAUUGGCAUCUUUUAUCUGCUGAUAGCCCUAUGUUGUUGCGAGAUCACAACU